rnacentral:misc_RNA from 1 species
GUGAGGCACAGCCCAUAGACGAAGCUUCUACCUCAUAUUGAUCUGUAUAUUUGAUUUGGACUUAGUUGGGCAUGUACCCAACCCAAGUAUAUUUGUGAGGUGUGCCCAAUACUCUAACUUGCUAAGCCUAAUAUUGUUUUGCUUAUGAUCCUUGGAAAAGAGCGCUCGCUGGCUGGCUGGGAACUAAUCAUCAAUGUUUCCUGAUACCUGAUAUUUGAGAACAAGAUCCGAACUUGAAAGAAAAAAAAAAGAGGAAUUGUAGUGAUCUAAACAGAGAAAGUACAAGAAGAAAGUAAUUUUCAUCAUAAUCCAAUCAAAUUUCAUUCCAUGGAAUGAUUAUUCUGUGUGAGGUUACAAUUAACCAAAUUCAAUUACUGGUUUUAUAAUACGAGGGUGCAGGGAUGUAUACAUGUUAAACCAAUUUACACAUUUUCAAUAUUCACAUGCCGAUCAACUCUUCUUACUCAUUGGACUAAGAUGAAGUUGUUGAAUUAUCAAAAGAUUUCUUCCUUACAAGAAGGCAAGUGAUGUUUGAAGGAUUAGCCUGUGCAUUGUCAGGACUGCCCAGCACAAAGUCAGGCCUGUGGAGCGCAAGGUUCAUACUAUCCUUCCCCAUGACCAGUGCAGUUGCAUCUAGCAGAACAUGCCAUGAGUUCCGAUGAGCUUCUGAAACCCAAUGCAUUGAGUAGCGGGUCCCAUUCACAUCAGCUGGAUAAGAGAAUAACCCUUUUGGGCUGUGCUUGUUCUUCCUCCUGAAAUAUUGGCUAAGCUGUGAUCCUUUGAUCCUCAAAUCCAACCAAGUCUCAGGUGCCAAGAUCAUUUUUGAUUCCUUGUAUGUGGCAAAUUCCCUUAUGUAAUCCAUUUCUUCUGCAAUAGUGGACAUGUAGAAGUUUCCUCUGAAGAAAGGGUAGCUCUCACCUACUAACAUCAUUGCAUCCUUGUAGUUUGGAGUGAAGAGAACAAGAUACUCAUCAUCAGGUAACCCACAGUGCUUCAAAACUUUGUUUUGAGCUUGGAUUUCUGGUAUUGAGAUAAAGCUCCCUGGAAAUGAGGAUUUCUUGGUGACGAUAUCAAGAAGCCUUGACUGCUCCAAUUGUGCUCUGCCCAAAUCAGGGAGAUUGCCUCCAAGGGAUGGUGAGGAAACCUCUCUGAAACUACUCCUAGGCGAUUUUUUCUUGUCAUCAGCUGCAGCCUCUGAAGCCUCUUCAUUGAUACAAAGAGUAGAGAGAUCUAUUUUUUCUCCAACAAGAAGACCAGCAUAUUGGGGGUACUUUGCCAAGACAUAUUGCUCAACAUAUUGCAUUUCUGAUGGAGUUAUCGGACCUGACCAUCUGAGGUCAAGACCUUGAAUUGUUGAUAUGGCUUCUGCUACAAUAUGUGCAGGAAUUAAGGUAUGUGCUUUCUGUUUAAUCCAAAUUUAAUCAAACAAUCACAAGUUUAGUAGAUUCUUAUGUAUCAACAUCCUAUUAAGAAAUCGCAGAGAUGGUUUUCAGUCUGAAAUUUUACCUUCACAACCAUACUGCUUGGCCUGCCACUGUCUGUUGGGGGUUUGGCUACAGAUGCAAAAAGGGAUUUUUGGUGUUGACCUUCCACCAUGGCCUAAUUUUUUUAACAUUUCAAUUAGAUUCUCUAUAAACAUUGUGCAACCAAACAACAUUUUAUUGAGUUGAAAUUGCUUACCUUUGAUCCUGCAUGCGAGGUAUUCUCUUCUUCUGUGUUGGUUCCUGUGGUAGCUAUUCUUACUCCAAUCUUGUGAACAUAUAAAGGAUUCUUUUAUCCAAGGAAAAAAAGAGACUAAUCUGGUAGAAUAAAAAGUAGAGGUGUGCCUUUACAGAACUGUUGCAGACUGUCUUUCUGUUGUAUAUCCAGAAAUUUUAGAAAACCAAAUGAAUAGAUAGCAGAAAUGACGGAACGGUGGCCACAAGCCAAGCUUGUGGAAACCUCUGUUAACAAAAUAAACAUGUCCAGGAGAAUUCAAGAUAUUAAAAGUUGACCUCUAGAAAGAGCAAGAAAUGGGAAAUUUGGAGGAAGAAAUGGAGGCAGGUGGGAAGGGGAGACCGGGCCAAACUGAGCAAAACAUUUCUUGUUGCAGAGUUGGGUCUGAAAGUGGGUUAUUAAUUAAAGAAAUUAAAAAAGAAGUCACUAGAAAGAAAGGCACGCCGACAAUGACAAUAGCAAUGCCUUAAAACUGGAAUCAUGAAACAAUUUUUUUUGAUUUGUUAUUCUAACCAUGGUUUAGAUGAUUU